rnacentral:lncRNA from 1 species
AUGCACAUACUCACCAGCUCAAACUCUGUGACUUUGGAAGUGCAAAAGUUUUGGUGAAAGGUGAACCAAAUAUAUCAUAUAUAUGUUCCCGAUAUCACCGUGCACCUAAACUUAUUUUUGGGGCAACCGAAUACACAACUGCAAUUGAUGUAUGGCCAGUUGGCUGUGUUCUUGCUGAACUGCUUCUAGGACAGCCUCUGUUCCCAUGUGAGAGUGGAGUUCAUCAACUUGUAGAGAUCAUCAAGGUUCUUGGUACACAAACCAGUGAAGAAAUCAAAUGCAUGAAUCCAAACUACACAGAAUUUGAGUUCCCACAUAUAUCCUUUCUAACUUAAUGUUCAACAGACAACUGCAUCCUGCAUUUUUCUACACCAUCCAUAUGCUCUUUAUUUUCAGAUUUCUAUAGAACUUGUCAAGGAAAGAAACUUGAACACAAUGGCAUUAAAAUAGAGCUCAUUGGUCAGAUUGGUGAGUUUCCCUAUUAUGUAUGUAUGUAGUAUAUAAAAAGUGUCAACCCGGAACUACUAUCUCGCAGAGUUAAGUGCUCCAGUGGUCGGAACAUCGCCGGAGAAGGCCGGAGUUAAGUGCUCCAGUGGUCGGAACAUCGCUGGAGAAGACACUAUAAUAAAACAGGGUGUAAACGUAUUUGUGAAGGGGGUAGAUUGAUGCAAUCAGAAAACGUCAGGGGGUCAGACAGCAAGAUUUUCGUAAUAGGGGGUAAGGUUGCCAGUCGCAUCUAACCCUAGGGGGUAAAAUUGCAGUUUACUCUAUUAUUAAUAAUGAGUAGUAAUAAUAUAAACCCGCUCACGGUCAUAGAUAUAAUUAUGAUCCGUUUUGCUAUUGUCUGUAAUUAAUAAUUAAACAAGUUAAGGGAAUUUUAGUUCGUUGUCCACGGUGUAACUCUUACGGGUUAUAACUCGGUCAACUACGU